rnacentral:hammerhead_ribozyme from 1 species
AUCCGUCUGACGAGUCCCAAAUAGAACGAAACGUGAAUCCUGGAU